rnacentral:rRNA from 1 species
UGGGGAAUAUUGCACAAUGGGCGAAAGCCUGAUGCAGCCAUGCCGCGUGUGUGAAGAAGGCCUUCGGGUUGUAAAGCACUUUCAGUCAGGAGGAAAGGUUACUAGUUAAUACCUGCUAGCUGUGACGGUACUGACAGAAGAAGCACCGGCUAACUCCGUG